rnacentral:tRNA from 1 species
UCCCUGUGGCUCAGAUGGUAAAGCAUCGGCCUGCAAUGCAGGAGACCCAGGUUCGAUCCCUGGGUCGGGAA